GCCUCGGUGUUGUAGUGGUAACACGCUCUACCCGUAUAGGUGAAAUGCGGGUUCAAUUCACGUCUGAGGUU